rnacentral:rRNA from 1 species
UACGUAGGGUGCAAGCGUUGUCCGGAAUUAUUGGGCGUAAAGGGCGCGUAGGCGGUGCGGUAAGUCACCUGUGAAACCUCUGGGCUUAACUCAGAGCCUGCAGGCGAAACUGCCGUGCUGGAGUGUGGGAGAGGUGCGUGGAAUUCCCGGUGUAGCGGUGAAAUGCGCAGAUAUCGGGAAGAACACCCGUGGCGAAGGCGGCUCUCUGGGACGGUACCGACGCUGAGACGCGAAAGCGUGGGGAGCGAACAGG